UCCGGUUUAACACCGGCAGUCUCGCUAGAGUCCCCGGCAUGACCCGUUGGCAACUAGCGAUAGGGGUUUCGCUCGUUAAGCGACUUAACGCGACACUUCACAGCACGAGCUGACGACAGCCAUGCAGCACCUGUGCACGUUCCACUACGAGAGUGUCGGUCGUCUUUCAACGACCUAAUCCGUGCAUGUCAAGCCCAGGAUAAGGUUCUUCGCGUUGCUUCGAAUUGAGCCACAUGCUCCACCGCUUGUGUGAGCCCCCGUCAAUUCCUUUGAGUUUUAGCCUUGCGACCGUACUCCCCAGGCGGUGCACUCAUCGUUUUUACUUCGACCGAGAAAGGCGUCAGUACCUCCCUCGAUCUCGUGCACAUCGUUUACGGCGUGGACUA
rnacentral:misc_RNA from 1 species